GUGGAUUAGGUACCCGGGUAGUCCACGCCCUAAACGAUGUCAACUAGUUGUCGGGUCUUAAUUGACUUGGUAACGCAGCUAACGCGUGAAGUUGACCGCCUGGGGAGUACGGCCGCAAGGUUAAAACUCAAAGGAAUUGACGGGGACCCGCACAAGCGGUGGAUGAUGUGGAUUAAUUCGAUGCAACGCGAAAAACCUUACCUACGCUUGACAUGCUAGGAACCUCGCAGAGAUGUGAGGGUGCUCGAAAGAGAGCCUAGACACAGGUGCUGCACGGUCGUCGACAGCU
rnacentral:rRNA from 1 species